UACGGAAGGGGCAAGCGUUGUUCGGAAUCAUUGGGCGUAAAGGGCGCGUAGGUGGUCUUGUGUGUCUACUGUGAAAGCGUACGGCUCAACCGUAUUUAGUCGGUAGAAACUGCAGGACUUGAGGCUGGGAGGGGCUGGUGGAAUUCCCUGUGUAGCGGUGAAAUGCGUAGAGAUGGGGGAGAACACUCGUGGCGAAGGCGGCCAGCUAGACCAGUUCUGACACUGAGGCGCGAUAGCGUGGGGAGCAAACAGG
rnacentral:rRNA from 1 species